GAAAAAACUUAGCAAAAGUUGAACAUGUCCAACUUUUAAAAAACUUAUAAAAUUGAAAGACAGUUGUAUAUCUUUCCUGUUUACACGCCGAAAGACACAAACGCAAAAGACAAAUUAUUUUGAAGAUGUUGAUUGCUGAUUCAAAUAAAAGAAAAAAUAAAGAAGAAAAAAAAACGAAAACUUCCAAGAUACUUGACGUGAUCCACGAAAGGCGUUCAGUCACAAUUAUGUCAAAGCGACGAGUUCGAAAAAGUGGUAAAAAGUCGCGAACAGUUGUAAAAAUAUAACAAAGAAUAUAAAAAUUAUAAUGUUUUUUCC